rnacentral:rRNA from 1 species
GACGAACGCUGGCGGCGUGCUUAACACAUGCAAGUGGAGCGACGAACCAGGGCUUGCCCUGGGGCAGAGCCGCGAACGGGUGAGUAACACGUGGGUAACCUGCCCCGAUGACCGGGACAACCCGAGGAAACUCGGGCUAAUACCGGAUGUGGAUCUCUUACAUCAGUAAGUUGUCUAAAGGUAGCUUCGGCUUCCGCAGUUGGGGAGGGGCCCGCGGCCCAUUAGCUUGUUGGUGAGGUAACGGCUACCAAGGCUUCGAUGGGUAGCUGGUCUGAGAGGACGAUCAGCCACACUGGGACUGAGACACGGCCCAGACUCCUACGGGAGGCAGCAGUGGGGAAUCUUGCGCAAUGCGCGAAAGCGUGACGCAGCAACGCCGCGUGGGG